CUCUGGGCGCCGUAGAGGGGUUAGCGGAGCCUGCUUUGUGCGGUAGGGCGUCUCGGGCUGCGGCCUUUGCCGCCCAAAGGUCGAGAGGGGGGUGCAGGGAUUGGCGAACAGAGAAAGCACUUGAAGGAGCUAAGGGGGCCCUGUGGGCUCCACUAAGUCGAGAACCUGUGGCUUCGGUUUUCCCGCCUAAAGGCCCCAAAUUUAGAAACCGAACACUAACGAGACUAGCAGACUCAAGAUCCUUUGUCUAGGAGACUGAUGUCUUGGUUUGGUUUCCAGGAUGCUCCAGUCACCUCUGGAUACUUCACUGUUCGUCAACGUCUUUCUUAAAAUGUGCCACUAAAAAAAAUCAAAUAUAAUA